GCUCUCUCUUCCUCCCACGUCCUUCUCAGGAUGGCUGACCAAUCAGCGGAGAGAGGAGGAGCGGGAGAGGCGGGAAGAAUUCGAUUCCGGCCCUUGAGGAGAGAGAGAGAGCGAGCGAGCGGAUCGCCCGCUGCGGAGGGAUAUGAGGGCGAGGGGCGCCGGGAUUAGUUCUCUGCGCGGAGGUGUAAUACUUAGGAAUACGUACUUGGAGCAAUAACAAUAGGAAAAACAAAACAUUUGCUUUGUCUUAUUUAAAACUCUCCCCCCACGCAUUGAGCUAUCUUUGAACCACAGAUUCCAGAAGAAAGCCAGUUUACUGGGUCAUAAAGGAGCUUAUAUGAACAAGGUUUCACUUUUACAAUGGGAAAAUAUUACAGCAGCAGCAAACAGAACCAGCCUCUCAGCCUCUCCGUACAGAAGCACAGCAGCAUAUCAAACCAUAAAACAACAAAGGGAAGAAUUCAUUCAAUGGCACUGCUUUUCUACAGAGAUUUUACAUAAAAGUUUGCUUACGUCCAUGUGUUAGCUCCCCACAGAUUAAAAUAUUUGCAAAUACGGCAGUAGCAAUCCAGAAACAUUUCAAAACACUUUUACGCAAGGAAUCAGUAAAUGAUCAUAAUUAAUAAAUACCCUUUAAAUCCUUCAAAUAUAAUAUUUUGAAGGAGACACUAUAUUUGGCUUGCACAUCAUUUAAGUGCACUCAAAACAUUCUGAUCGAAUGUAGAAACUCUUAGAAGUGGUUUGAGUUAGGAACCUCCCUGAUCUACAUGUUUUACCUAGUAAAUACAAAAACAUAGUUUUCUAUUAAAAUGCUCAUCUAUUAAGAGCUGGGAUUCAUGGUAUGAACAAACAUUAAAAUCCAUUGCUUUUUAUCUUUAGCAAUUUAAUUAAAAUAAAAUGUGUUUUCUUUAAACUUA